rnacentral:rRNA from 1 species
CGUUCCCGGGUCUUGUACACACCGCCCGUCACACCACGAAAGUCGGCAACACCCGAAGCCUGUGGCCUAACCGUAAGGAAGGAGCAGUCGAAGGUGGGGUUGGUGAUUGGGGUG